AACACUUGUAAGAAACCAAAAGAGGGCAAUAUCUCUCAGUAUUACACUAAAAGAAGUCUCUUUUAGGUUUUCACAAGCUCCUCCUCAGAGUCUUUUUGAUAUUUAUGAAAGCAAAACUGUCAACAGAUUGUCAGUGUCAAUUUAAAACAGAUCAUGAGGUGGAUGAGGAUUAUAUUUCUAUUUGCACUAUUCAGUCUUGAGUGCAGAUCAGAAGAGAAAGUCGACCAGCCAGUCAAACGUGUCACUGAAGUUGAAGGAAAAUCAGUGACAUUAAACUGCACAUUUACGACAACUUCAACACAGCCAUACCUCUUCUGGUACGUCCAGAGAGCAAAUGACAUUCCUAAAUACAUCCUGAGAAGGGACAAGUUUGGAAUUGGAGAAAAUGGCACUGAGUUUCAGGAGAGAUUUCACUCUGAAAUUUCAUCAAACUCAGUUCCUCUGAUGAUCAAGGAUGUGAGUGUGUCUGACUCUGCUGUGUAUUACUGUGCUCUGAGGCCCACUGUGACAAAACUCAAGUCAAACCACAUACAAAAACACUGAGGCAUAAACAUUUGAAUGUGACUCUUUAAAAAGUAUUUUUUGACAUUUAAAAACUGUAAUAAAAUCAUGAUGAAACUAAGUAACAGUGAACUACAAUAAACUUUAUUACUCUGUAAAAAAUUAUUGUGAUUUUAACUGUAAAAGACUGUAAAAUUGCUAUGGUGAAAAACUGUUAGUUGGUUAAGUUAAUUGGAUUGAUUAUUUGAACGUGCUCCUCCCGAACUUUGUUCAAUGAAACAUCCUUUAACUCUCUCAACUUGUGGAAAAGCUGCUUGUGUCACAA